ACAGAGGUGAAAUACAUAUACGAUGUGACCAACAGUGGAUCCGAUAAAACCAACACUACCAUUCUCCAAAUCAACAAGAUCUUCAAGGACGGAAUAGGCCUCGCGGCAUCUUCCACAGCGCCGUUCAGGUAUAUGGAGAAGAGGAAUGGUCUUUUGGCUUCUGUGAGCAUGGGUCUGGGGUGUUUAAUUGUCCUUCUGGAAAAAAUCCAAUGUAUACAUAUCGUGAGUCCAUGGUCCUGGGAAGAACUAACUUU